GAGACCUCAGGUCAGGCGGGGCUACCCGCUGAAUUUAAGCAUAUCAAUAAGCGGAGGAAAAGAAACUAACAAGGAUUCCCUU
rnacentral:rRNA from 1 species